rnacentral:rRNA from 1 species
UACGUAGGGUGCGAGCGUUAAUCGGAAUUACUGGGCGUAAAGCGUGCGCAGGCGGUUUUGUAAGUCUGUCGUGAAAUCCCCGGGCUCAACCUGGGAAUUGCGAUGGAGACUGCAAGGCUAGAAUCUGGCAGAGGGGGGUAGAAUUCCACGUGUAGCAGUGAAAUGCGUAGAGAUGUGGAGGAACACCGAUGGCGAAGGCAGCCCCCUGGGCUAACACUGACGCUCAUGCACGAAAGCGUGGGGAGCAAACAGG